UGUUCCUGUCAUUUCAAUGUAAACAGGAAAAGGACCUGAUGUUCCUGUCAUUGACCAGUUUGGGUUCCAGGUUCCCACUUGCUGUGGAUACCUCCCUCAGGAGAAUGAGUGGCAGAGUGACUGGGUGACAUUCUACUCUCAGCACAGACUACAGCACCAACUCAACAUGGUGGAGAAGUCUUAUGGAGACAGAGAGGCCAGGGAACUAUGGUCCCAGCUACAGGUAACUAUGUAACUACAGGGAACUAUGGUCCCAGCUACAGGUAACUAUGUAACUAGGUAACU